rnacentral:rRNA from 1 species
AAUCAACGCUGGCGGCGUGCCUAACACAUGCAAGUCGAACGCGAGAGGGGCUUCGGCCCCGAUUGAGUGGCGAACGGGUGAGUAACACGUGGGUGACCUACCUUCGAGUGGGGGAUAACGUCCCGAAAGGGACGCUAAUACCGCAUAACAUUCCGCUUUUGAACAAGUGGAAAUCAAAGCCGGGGAUCGUAAGACCUGGCGCUUGAAGAGGGGCCCGCGUCCGAUUAGCUAGUUGGUGAGGUAACGGCNCACCGAGGCGACGAUCGGUAGCCGGCCUGAGAGGGCGGACGGCCACACUGGGACUGAGACACGGCCCAGACUCCUACGGGAGGCAGCAGUGGGGAAUUGUUCGCAAUGGGCGCAAGCCUGACGACGCAACGCCGCGUGGAGGAUGAAGGUCUUCGGAUUGUAAACUCCUGUUGCUCGGGACGAAAUGCUCCAGCCUAACACGUUGG